ACGUCCACUUACUUGGAGUCCGAACUCUCACUUUCUAACCCUGUGCACUUGUUUGGGAUAGUAACUCUCGCAAGAGAGCGAACUCCUAUUCACUUAUAAACACAAAGUCUAUGAAUGUAUUAAAUUUUAUAACAAAAUAAAACUUUCAACAACGGAUCUCUUGGCUCUCGCAUCGAUGAAGAACGCAGCGAAAUGCGAUAAGUAAUGUGAAUUGCAGAAUUCAGUGAAUCAUCGAAUCUUUGAACGCACCUUGCGCUCCAUGGUAUUCCGUGGAGCAUGCCUGUUUGAGUGUCAUGAAUACUUCAACCCUCCUCUUUCUUAAUGAUUGAAGAGGUGUUUGGUUUCUGAGCGCUGCUGGCCUUUACGGUCUAGCUCGUUCGUAAUGCAUUAGCAUCCGCAAUCGAACUUCGGAUUGACUUGGCGUAAUAGACUAUUCGCUGAGGAAUUCUAGUCUUCGGAUUAGAGCCGGGUUGGGUUAAAGGAAGCUUCUAAUCAGAAUGUCUACAUUUUAAGAUUAGAUCUCAAAUCAGGUAGGACUACCCGCUGAACUUAAGCAUAUCAAUAAGCGGAGGAAAAGAAACUAACAAGGAUUCCCCUAGUAGCGGCGAGCGAAGCGGGAAGAGCUCAAAUUUAUAAUCUGGCACCUUCGGUGUCCGAGUUGUAAUCUCUAGAAAUGUUUUCCGCGUUGGACCGCACACAAGUCUGUUGGAAUACAGCGGCAUAGUGGUGAGACCCCCGUAUAUGGUGCGGACGCCCAGCGCUUUGUGAUACAUUUUCGAAGAGUCGA
rnacentral:rRNA from 1 species